UCGAACCUAAAAGGCAAAACCCUAUUUCAUUCUCUGCGGCGUUUUUUAUUUUUCCAAUGAAUUGAACCUUUGUAGCAAAUUGAAGUUGUUCGAUCAAUAGAACUUCAAUUCACAGCAGUUCAAAUUAACAGUCAUUCAAAUUGAAGUUAUUCGAUAGAACUAGUGUAAUUGAAAUUCAAGGUACGUUGUCAUUCAAAUCAAAUUUUUUUUAAUCAAUACUCUUAUAACUUUGUUCUUCAUAUUGAUUCUUGAAUCAAUUUUUUUAUGUAACUUGUUCGAUUUCUUUGCUUGAUUUUAUGAAAUCAAAUCUUUGAAUCAAUAAUAACUUCUGAUAUUUUUAGGUUUUCAUUUUAAUUCUAAUUUCUAACUUUUGUGAUGAAAGUUUCUUUGUUUUGGGUUAAUUUUGUAGUAUUAUUGUAGUACUAAAGCAAUGUGAAUCUUGGUUACAGUAAGUUUGUUUCUCCAAGCAUAUAUAAUUUGAGGCCUUCCUAUUUGUGCAAUUGACACAGGGCCCUCUAAAUCUUAGAACCAGCCAACCCUGAAUGUUGUCAAGACAGAAAAAUACUAGUACUAUUAUUGUAGAAAAAUGAAUGAGAUUUGUCUAAUAUCUCUUUCAAGCCAAUAAGUCGAUAAAUCUGCUAGAGUACCUAUUUCUCUAUCAAAAAAUCCAAAUGCGUGGUGGUUAUAAAUCCAAAGGCCUUUACAUGUCGAUAAUCGACAUGAUAUGUAGUUUUGAACGACAAUAUUAACCAUAUAAAUUUGUCUAGUCCCCCUUUUUUCUAGAAUUCAGUUCACAGUCAAAGUAUGUAAGGUAUGAAUUCAGUUUACACGCACACACAGUCCUCUAUUAAACUCUAUUUGUUUGAUUGCUUUGCUUCUUUCACGCAUGACAUACAAAAUCUCUUUGGAAUCUGAUAUAUAUGAAUACAAUGUUGCAAAUAAAUAUCAAGAGAAAAUUAAGAUAACUGAAAAUCUCUAUUGAAUCUGAUAUAUGUAUGGAAUCUGCUUGCUUGAUUAUUUUUUUCGAUAAAAAACAAUGAUUUCUUCUAUGCGGUGUACAGUUUUUUGUUGAAAAGGUUAUUGAACCUCCUUUGGAUUCAUAAUACUGCAUUCCCAUGCAUGAUAUACAAAAUCACAGACUUGCAGUAUGCCUAGAGGAGGUCUGAGUGAUGUUAUACUAGGAAAACAAACAUAUUGUACUUGGGAGUUAGAACAUAGAAUAAAACAUAUUACGUGUAACAACACAUACAUGCAUUUUAACGAGUUUCAUUUUUGUCCUUCAUGAUUUUCAAUCACGAGAAAAUAUUGGAUAUAAUGAUAUGUUCUUCAUGCCUUCUUAAUUACUUUAAUCAGGAGAAUAUAUUAAACUUGCUACUAUAUUCAUACUUUUUCUUUCUUUUCUUCCAGGACUUAAAACACUUUGUUGUUGGCAUACAUGAAUACUGAAGUAGUGACGACAAUUUCAAAAAAAGUGUCGUGAGAAUACUGAAGUAGUGAUGAAGAAUUAAUGAUAGGGUUGGUUUGUUUGUUUCAUUCUGUUGUAUAUGAUAUGAUGAAGCGAGCUCUCUUCGGAAAAAGUCUCUCUAAUUGAGGGGUUUUUUUUUUUUUCUGUCAUUAGUAGUUUAGGAAAGAGUUGAAUUGAAAUGAAAUGAUCAGAUUUGUUGAGUUGAAUAAUUGAUUUUAGAUCUUGAAUUUGUUACCAAUUGGAUUAAAAGAAGACAAUUUGAG
rnacentral:lncRNA from 1 species